GGGUUUAAAGGGUGCGUAGGCGGCUAUUUAAGUCAGGGGUGAAAGACGGCAGCUCAACUGUCGCAGUGCCUUUGAUACUGAAUAGCUUGAAUACACUUGAGGUAGGCGGAAUGUGACAAGUAGCGGUGAAAUGCAUAGAUAUGUCACAGAACACCAAUUGCGAAGGCAGCUUACUAAAGUGUGAUUGACGCUGAGGCACGAAAGCGUGGGGAUCAAACAGGAUUAGAUACCCUGGUAGUCCACGCCCUAAACGAUGAAUACUCGAUGUUGGCGAUAUACGGUCAGCGUCUAAGCGAAAGCGUUAAGUAUUCCACCUGGGGAGUACGCCCGCAAGGGUGAAACUCAAAGGAAUUGACGGGGGCCCGCACAAGCGGAGGAGCAUGUGGUUUAAUUCGAUGAUACGCGAGGAACCUUACCCGGGCUUGAAAGUUAGUGAAUGGAGCAGAGACGCUCCAGUCCUUCGGGACACGAAACUAGGUGCUGCAUGGCUGUCGUCAGCUCGUGCCGUGAGGUGUUGGGUUAAGUCCCGCAACGAGCGCAACCCCUGUGUUUAGUUGCCAGCAUGUAAUGGUGGGGACUCUAAACAGACUGCCUAUGCAAAUAGAGAGGAAGGAGGGGACGACGUCAAGUCAUCAUGGCCCUUACGUCCGGGGCUACACACGUGCUACAAUGGGCAGUACAGAGGGCAGCUACCUGGCAACAGGAUGCCAAUCUCUUAAAGCUGUUCACAGUUCGGAUCGGGGUCUGCAACUCGACCCCGUGAAGUUGGAUUCGCUAGUAAUCGUGUAUCAGCAUGACGCGUGAUACGUUCCCGGCCUUGCACUCAC
rnacentral:rRNA from 1 species